rnacentral:rRNA from 1 species
UGGGGAAUAUUGGACAAUGGGCGGAAGCCUGAUCCAGCCAUGCCGCGUGUGUGAAGAAGGCCUUUUGGUUGUAAAGCACUUUAAGCGAGGAGGAGGCUACUUGGAUUAAUACUCUAGGAUAGUGGACGUUACUCGCAGAAUAAGCACCGGCUAACUCUGUGACAGCAGCCGCGGUAAUACAUAGGGUGCGAGCGUUAAUCGGAUUUACUGGGCGUAAAGCGUGCGUAGGCGGCUUCUUAAGUCGGAUGUGAAAUCCCUGAGCUUAACUUAGGAAUUGCAUUCGAUACUGGGAAGCUAGAGUAUGGGAGAGGAUGGUAGAAUUCCAGGUGUAGCGGUGAAAUGCGUAGAGAUCUGGAGGAAUACCGAUGGCGAAGGCAGCCAUCUGGCCUAAUACUGACGCUGAGGUACGAAAGCAUGGGGAGCAAACAGG